UACGAGAGGCCCAAACGUUAUUCGGAAUUACUGGGCUUAAAGAGUUCGUAGGCGGCAUGAAAAGUAGGGUGUGAAAGCCCUCGGCUCAACCGAGGAAUUGCGCUCUAAACUGUCGUGCUAGAGGAACCUAGAGGUGAGCAGAACUGAUGGUGGAGCGGUGAAAUGCGUUGAUAUCAUCAGGAACGCCGGUGGCGAAAGCGACGGACUGGACCUUCACUGACGCUGAGGCGCGAAAGCUAGGGGAGCAAACGGG
rnacentral:rRNA from 1 species